GCUUAAAAUUUAGCCUACCUUUAAUCAUAUGAACACCACAACUCAACACCUUUAAAUAAAACAUUUUUCUAGUCCAGUACAGGUGAUCAAAAAACUAACUAGCGCUUUAUCACAAGUACCGCAAGGGAAAAAUGAAAUAGCUCUGAAAUAGUUCUAAAGCACAACACAACAGAGCUCACCCCUCGUACCUUUUGCAUCAUGGUUUAGCCAGUCCUCAUCAAGCAAAAUGAAACCCAAGUUUGACCCCCCGAAACUAGACGAGCUACUUUAAAACAGCUUUAUAGAGCCAACCCAUCUCUGUUGCAAAAGAGUGGGAUGAUUUUAAAGUAGAGGUGAUAAGCCUAUCGAGCCUAGAGAUAGCUGGUUACUUAAGAAAAGAAUUUUAGUUCAACUUCAAGCCUCAACAUUACACUGACACAGACUCAAGACUUGAAAGUUAUUCAAAUAAGGUACAGCUUAUUUGAUAAAGGAUACAACCUACGAGAAAGGGUAAAAAUUAUUUAUACAGACCAAGUUGGCUUAAAAGCAGCCACCUUUAAAAAAGCGUCAAAGCUUUCUCUCCCAUCUUACUUAAUCCCUGAAAAUACUUUAAACCCUCCACUAUUAUUAAGUAAUUUUAUAAAAUAUAUAAAAGUAUUCAUGCUAGAACUAGUAACAAGAAAUUGAAUUUCUCCUAAAUAUAAGCAUAAGCCAAAAUGGACUAACCAUUGACAAUUAACGUUUUUUAGUCAACUAUAGCAACACCCCAAGAAAACCCUAUAACUACCUACGUUAACCUUACACAAGUAUAUUUCAAGAAAGAUUAAAAGAAGGGGAAGGAACUCGGCAAAUUUUAACCUCGCCUGUUUACCAAAAACAUCGCCUCUUGAUCAAACAUAAGAGGUCCAGCCUGCCCAGUGACUCACUUAAACGGCCGCGGUACCAUAACCGUGCAAAGGUAGCAUAAUCAUUUGUUCUUUAAAUAGGGACUCGUAUCAACGGCAUCACGAAGGUUAUACUGUCUCCCCCUUCUAAUCAGUGAAACUGACCUCCCCGUGAAGAGGCGGGGAUUAUAUUACAAGACGAGAAGACCCCAUGGAGCUUUAAACCCAAUAAUAAUUUUUACCUAAAUAAUCUACAAAAUUACAAAAAUCCUAUCUAUUGGUUUUAGGUUGGGGCGACCGCGGAGUAAAACAAAACCUCCUUGACGAACAGGUCUCAUCCUAAUCCAAGAGCUACUGCUCUAAGAAUCAAAAAUUUGACGUAACAUGAUCCGGUAACCGAUCAACGAACCAAGUUACCCUGGGGAUAACAGCGCAAUCUAUUUCAAGAGCUCCUAUCGACAAAUAGGUUUACGACCUCGAUGUUGGAUCAGGGUAUCCCAGUGGUGCA
rnacentral:rRNA from 1 species